rnacentral:rRNA from 1 species
GAUGAACGCUGGCGGCGUGCUUAACACAUGCAAGUCGAACGGGAAUUAUCUUAUUGAGACUUCGGUCGAUUUAGUUUACUUCUAGUGGCGGACGGGGGAGUAACGCCUGGGUAACCUGCCUUAUACAGGGGGAUAAGAGUAAGAAAUGGCUGCUGAUACUGCAUCAGCGCACAGAGCUGCAUGGCUCGGUGGGUAAGACUCCGGUGGUAUAAGAUGGACCCGCGUUGGGUUGGCUGGUUGGUGGGGGAACGGCCCACCAAGGCGACGAUGCAGAGCCGGCCGGGGAGGGGGAACCGCCACAUUUGGACUGAGACACGGCCUAGACUCCUACGCGAGGCAGGAGUGGGGAAUAUUGCACAAUGGGGGAAACUCUGAUGCAGCGACGCCGCGUGAAGGAAGAAGUAUCUCGGUAUGUAAACUUCUAUCAGCAGGGAAGAUAGUGAUGGUACCUGAUUAAGAAGCCCCGGCUAACUACGUG